rnacentral:rRNA from 1 species
CAAUAGCGUAUAUUAAAGUUGUUGCGGUUAAAAAGCUCGUAGUUGGAUUUCUGCUGAGAACGACCGGUCCGCCCUUUGGGUGUGUAUCUGGCUCUUUCUUGGCAUCUUCUUGGUGAACGUUGCUGCACUUGACUGUGUGGAGCGCUACCCAGGACUUUUACUUUGAGGAAAUUAGAGUGUUUCAAGCAGGCAUACGCCUUGAAUACAUUAGCAUGGAAUAAUAAGAUAGGACCUCGGUUCUAUUUUGUUGGUUUCUAGAGCUGAGGUAAUGAUUAAUAGGGAUAGUUGGGGGCAUUCGUAUUUAACUGUCAGAGGUGAAAUUCUUGGAUUUGUUAAAGACGGACUACUGCGAAGGCAUUUGCCAAGGAUGUUUUCAUUGA